rnacentral:tRNA from 1 species
UAGAGAAUAGCAUAUUGGGAGUGCGAGGGGCUUUGAUUCCCUAAGUGCAGGUUCAAUUCCUGUUUUUCUAG